rnacentral:rRNA from 1 species
AUUGAACGCUGGCGGCAUGCUUUACACAUGCAAGUCGAACGGCAGCACGGACUUCGGUCUGGUGGCGAGUGGCGAACGGGUGAGUAAUACAUCGGAACGUACCCAGUAAUGGGGGAUAACUAUCCGAAAGGAUAGCUAAUACCGCAUACGCCCUACGGGGGAAAGAGGGGGAUCGCAAGACCUCUUGUUAUUGGAGCGGCCGAUGGCUGAUUAGCUAGUUGGUGAGGUAAAGGCUCACCGAGGCGACGAUCAGUAGCGGGUCUUAGAGGACGAGCCGCCGCACUGGAACUGAGACACGGUCCAGACUCCUACGGGAGGCAGCAGUGGGGAAUCUUGGACAAUGGGCGCAAGCCUGAUCCAGCAAUGCCGCGUGCGUGAAGAAGGCCUUCGGGGUGUAAAGCGCUUUUGUCAGGGAGCAAAUCCUUGUGGCUAAUACCCACCGGGGAUGAGAGUACCUGAAGAAUAAGGACCGGCUAACUACGUGCCAGCCGCCGCAGUAAGAC